GAAAAAGGAAAGAUGAAGGAAAAAGAAAAUACAAUAGAAAAUGAUGUGUGGUUGAUUUAGCGACAGCCAAGCCAUCGUCUUCCUUUAUUCACCAAAAUCCGAACGAAAAUCAAAGUGAAGAACCGUGUGAGAGGCGAAGCUGAGACGGAGCAAUUUCUGGCGGAGUUCAAUCGGAGAAAAUUUCCGUUACUAUGUAAAUCGCAGUGACUGGAACGCGCCUCUCUUUGUCAUGGAGAUCUUUUCUUCAACUUGAAUUCAUGGAGGUGGUCGGUUCAGUGAAACUGUUUUCAGCGUCACCGGCGAACUCGGUUUCAGGCUUGAGUUACUCUCCCUCAUCUUAUUCUUCCACAUUAUUUUCUCCCAAGAAGAAGAAAAAGAAGAAGAAGAAGCUGCUUGUUGUGUCGAAGAGCAAAAAGCAGCCUCAAAUUUCAUCGGCUGGUUCGGAUCCUCCGAGAAUUACGUCAAAUCUGAAGCAGAAUUUGCAGUUUCUGAGAUUGUGGAAGGAGUUUCAAAAGAGAAAAUCUGGCGUACCUAAGCCUGCUACUAGUUACCGGAGGAAGAAGGUAGAGAAGGAGGACCUCCCAGGAGAUACGGAGCUUUAUCGUGAUCCCACAUUGGCUCUUUACUAUACAAACCAGGGCAUAGACAAUGCAGUCCCUGUCUUGCUGGUUGAUGGUUAUAAUGUGUGUGGCUACUGGGUGAAACUGAAGAAACAUUUUAUGAAUGGGAGACUUGAUGUAGCUCGCCAAAAGCUAAUUGACGAGCUUAUUACGUUCAGUAUGCUGAGAGAGGUCAAAGUGGUAGUUGUAUUUGAUGCGAUGCUGUCUGGACUCCCAACACACAAGGAAAACUUUGCGGGAAUUGAUGUGGUUUAUUCAGGUGAAUCGUGUGCAGAUACAUGGAUUGAAACAGAGGUUGUAGCCCUGAAGGAGGAUGGAUGUCCCAAAGUUUGGGUAGUGACUUCUGAUGUCUGUCAGCAGCAUGCAGCCCAUGGAGCAUGUUUAGCUGGAGCGAUUAACUCAUGUAAGUUUGCAUAUAUAGCUCUUGGUUGUUUAGACCUAUACUCUGAUUAUAGCUGAAAAGACUGUAUUCUGUUACUUUAUCCUCAGGGUGCCUUUAUUUGGAGUUGCAAGGCAUUAGUUUCUGAGAUUAAAGCAUCGAAAAAGGAGGUUGAAAUGAUGCUGCAAGAACACAGAUGUAGGUUCCCUAGCCUUUCCGAAUUCCAGAUGUAGGGUCUCUAUGUUCCAAAAGUGAAGAGAAGCAUAAUAUUUGUGCGUGACGUGUUUUGGCAUAUUUAAAAAUAUAGGAGAUGAUAUGGGAGAAGGAAAUAAAAGAAGAGAAGCCAGCUUUCUCAUUUGUCAGCAUUACCGUUUGUAGAAUAGCAUUUUUUAGUUCAGCUUUGGCCCCAUUUCAUUAAAUGAAAUAGAGCUACCACCACCGCAUUUGAAAGUCGUGAGUUAAUAGAGGGAGUACUGCUCAUAUUUAAGAGGUCGGGUUUAUGAGAUUUUAUGUAAAUGUUUAGGGAAGAAAAUUCUCAAAGAAUAACUUGGUUUUUGUUAUUUUAUAAUGUUGGUAAAGUUUUAUAAUCCUGCCCUGUAUUUGUAAGUCAUGAUAUAAUGGAGAAUACUGGCAAUUCAAGUGAUUGGGUUUGUGAGAUUUUAUGUAAA